UACGGUGGAUUCAAGCGUUAUCCGGAUUUAUUGGGUUUAAAGGGUGCGUAGGCGGUCGGAUAAGUUAGAGGUGAAAUCCCGGGGCUCAACUUCGGAAUUGCCUCUGAUACUGUUCGGCUAGAGAGUAGUUGCGGUAGGCGGAAUGUAUGGUGUAGCGGUGAAAUGCUUAGAGAUCAUACAGAACACCGAUUGCGAAGGCAGCUUACCAAGCUACUUCUGACGUUGAGGCACGAAAGCGUGGGGAGCAAACAGG
rnacentral:rRNA from 1 species